UACGGGGGGGGCAAGCGUUGUUCGGAAUUACUGGGCGUAAAGGGCUCGUAGGCGGCCAACUAAGUCAGACGUGAAAUCCCUCGGCUUAACCGGGGAACUGCGUCUGAUACUGGAUGGCUUGAGGUUGGGAGAGGGAUGCGGAAUUCCAGGUGUAGCGGUGAAAUGCGCAGAUAUCAGGAGGAACACCCGUGGCGAAGGCGGCUCUCUGGGACGGUACUGACGCUGAGACGCGAAAGCGUGGGGAGCAAACAGG
rnacentral:rRNA from 1 species